UACGAAGGGGGCUAGCGUUGCUCGGAAUUACUGGGCGUAAAGGGCGCGUAGGCGGCUUAGUUAGUCAGGCGUGAAAUUCCUGGGCUCAACCUGGGGACUGCGCUUGAUACGGCUAGGCUAGAGGAUGGAAGAGGGUCGCGGAAUUCCCAGUGUAGAGGUGAAAAUUCGUAGAUAUUCGCAAGAACACCAGUGGCGAAGGCGGCUCACUGGCCCCGGGUACUGACGCUG
rnacentral:rRNA from 1 species